UCUAACGACCCCUUAACUUUAACCUGUCUCCCAAGAUGGCUGCUGUAUUGGAAUUGUGUGCCAUUUAAGGUACUGGCUUUUGUUACGGGUCUGGGGAUAGCCUUGCCCAUCACAGAUUACUGUUAAUAAAGAAACUGAGACAGUAAUGCUUUCUAUUCUUCAGCUGGAGUCUUUACUAAUCACAAAUGCAGUAGCAUUUACAAAAAUACAUCUUUUCAUUCAUUUUUAUUAUUUUUCUUUUACAGAACAUAAACAUUCAUUUAUAGCAUUCAUUCUAUUUAAUUUCAUUGUGUUUAAUUUCAGAACAAUUCACCAUCUCCAUUCACUAGUCAACACAGAAUCCUCUUCAAUACAAAAUAAAUCUAUCAAAUUCAAAGGUUCUAGUUCCCCGAUUAUCUUAGACCCAGUGACUAACUGCACUGCCACCUACUGGUUAGUAGUGAUAAAAAGGCUAGUAGUUUUGCGAUAAACCAAAUCUAUGACAAUUCUCUGCCUGUCACACUUUGCAUCUGGAAAAUUGUGUUCCGUCUCCCAGCAAAUAGAAAGCAGGCUAUGACUGUUGCUCAGGCCAUGACAAAUGGCUAUGCUAUAAACACUACACCAACUCGAAUUCUGGUUAGAGCUGCAUACAACUCCACAGAAAGCCAGCCUCAGGUGUGAAAGUCCCCUCACCUCUAACAGAUCCAAACUGUACCAAUGGCUGUGCUAAGAUCAACCACCUUUUAUAAGCAAAGCUGGAUGGUCAUGAUGGUGGACACUGCAGUUACAUGUCCUACUGAUGGAAGAGCCUUCACAGAAGAGAUGAUCACAUGGAAUGUUCCCCGUGUUCUACCUCUUGUUUCUACACCACAAAUUACUACCCUUGUUGUUCAAAUGGGAGUUGAUGGCCGCAAGCUUGACCCUGCAACAACUGAGAAUAGAAACUAUAAACUGGAUGUUGGUCCCCAGCUAUCACUGUAAAAAUUCCUGUGGGCGCUGAUGGUGGAUAUUACAAGGAAUGUAAAAGUUCAUCUCCUUAAAUCCUUCUCAUUUUAAAGCUUGCCUCUAAAAUGCUUCUUUGCUUUCAGAGCCAUGUAUUAGACAACACCUAUGUGUAUUAACUGGGGAUGAUCUUGUGGUUAGUACGGAGGACGGUACUAAACUAGCACAUGAGUUAAUACCAAUUGCAACUCAAGAGUCACCAGCUGCAUAUUCAAGCCCAAAAUAACUAUUGUUGCCCUCUAGGGGUUACUAAACCAAUACUAAAUUAGUCUAGCAGUUUCUGUAGACAGAUUUGUGGUACUGUACUAACUGGAACAAAUAUGAAAAGUCCCAAAAUGUUUUAACAAUUAUGAAGCUGACCUAUUCAUAAUCAAAACAUAUUUUGAAACUGUGAAAAAUUGCAAUUGGUUCUAAGUUAGUAUGCAGCUGGGGGUGAUCCUGAGUACCAUAUUAGCUAGUCAGCGACUUGAUACUCAGUUCUGUACUAAAUCUGCAUGUUCAUUGCAACUGAGUCUUUUGAUUUCUCUUCCAGUUUGACAACAACCUCCUGACUUAUGAGAGUGAAGUGCU